GACGAACGCUGGCGACGUGCCUAAUACAUGCAAGUCGAGCGGAAGUUGAAGAGCUUGCUCUUCAACUUUAGCGGCGGACGGGUGAGUAACACGUGGGCAACCUGCCCUGCAGAUCGGGAUAACUCCGGGAAACCGGUGCUAAUACCGAAUAGUUUUGGGUCCCUCCUGGGACCUAACGGAAAGACGGUUUCGGCUGUCACUGCAGGAUGGGCCCGCGGCGCAUUAGCUAGUUGGUGGGGUAACGGCCCACCAAGGCGACGAUGCGUAGCCGACCGGAGAGGGUGAUCGGCCACACUGGGACGAAGACACGGCCCAGACUCCUACGGGAGGCAGCAGUAGGGAAUCUUCCGCAAUGGACGCAAGUCUGACGGAGCAACGCCGCGUGAGUGAUGAAGGUUUUCGGAUCGUAAAACUCUGUUGCGAGGGAAGAAACCGUGCCAAUUAACUACUGGCACCUUGACGGUACCUCGCCAGAAAGCCACGGCUAACUACGUGCCAGCCGCCGCCGUAA
rnacentral:rRNA from 1 species